GACGAACGCUGGCGGCGUGCUUAACACAUGCAAGUCGAACGGAAAGGCCCUGCUUUUGUGGGGUGCUCGAGUGGCGAACGGGUGAGUAACACGUGAGUAACCUGCCCUUGACUUUGGGAUAACUUCAGGAAACUGGGGCUAAUACCGGAUAGGAGCUCCUGCUGCAUGGUGGGGGUUGGAAAGUUUCGGCGGUUGGGGAUGGACUCGCGGCUUAUCAGCUUGUUGGUGGGGUAGUGGCUUACCAAGGCUUUGACGGGUAGCCGGCCUGAGAGGGUGACCGGCCACAUUAGGACUGAGAUACGGCCCAGGCUGCUACGGGAGGCAGCAGUGGAGAAUAUUGCACAAUGGGCGGAAGCCUGAUGCAGUAACGCCGCGUGCGGGAUGACGGCCUUCGCGUUGUAGACCGCUUUGGACUGUGACGAAGCGUGAGUGACGGUAAUGGGUAAAGAAGCAACGGCUAACUACGUG
rnacentral:rRNA from 1 species